rnacentral:rRNA from 1 species
AGUGAACGCUGGCGGUAGGCCUAACACAUGCAAGUCGAACGGCAGCACAGUAAGAGCUUGCUCUUACGGGUGGCGAGUGGCGGACGGGUGAGGAAUACAUCGGAAUCUACUUUUUCGUGGGGGAUAACGUAGGGAAACUUACGCUAAUACCGCAUACGACCUACGGGUGAAAGCAGGGGAUCCUCGGACCUUGCGCGAUUGAAUGAGCCGAUGUCGGAUUAGCUAGUUGGCGGGGUAAAGGCCCACCAAGGCGACGAUCCGUAGCUGGUCUGAGAGGAUGAUCAGCCACACUGGAACUGAGACACGGUCCAGACUCCUACGGGAGGCAGCAGUGGGGAAUAUUGGACAAUGGGCGCAAGCCUGAUCCAGCCAUACCGCGUGGGUGGAGAAGGCCUUCGGGUUGUAAAGCCCUUUUGUUGGGAAAGAAAAGCAGCAGGUUAAUACCCCGCUGUUCUGACGGUACCCAAAGAAUAAGCACCGGCUAACUUCGUG